rnacentral:rRNA from 1 species
CCUACGGGGGGCUGCAGUGAGGAAUAUUGGACAAUGGAGGAAACUCUGAUCCAGCCAUGCCGCGUGAAGGAAGGAGGUCCUAUGGAUCGUAAACUUCUUUUGCCACAGAGCAAUAAGGUCCACGAGUGGAUUGAUGAGAGUAUGUGGCGAAUAAGCAUCGGCUAACUCCGUGCCAGCAGCCGCGGUAAUACGGGGGAUGCAAGCGUUAUCCGGAUUUAUUGGGUUUAAAGGGUGCGUAGGCUGACUUUCAAGUCGGUGGUGAAAAGCCGGGGCUCAACCCCGGGAGUGCCGCCGAAACUGAGAGACUAGAAUUCGGAUGCCGUGGGAGGAAUGAGUAGUGUAGCGGUGAAAUGCAUAGAUAUUACUCAGAACACCGAUUGCGAAGGCAUCUCACGAAUCCGAGAUUGACGCUGAGGCACGAAAGCGUGGGUAUCAAACAGGCUUAGAUACCCCAGUAGUC